GUUUCCUACGGGACGCAGCAGUGGGGAAUAUUGCACAAUGGGGGAAACCCUGAUGCAGCGACGCCGCGUGAGUGAAGAAGUAUUUCGGUAUGUAAAGCUCUAUCAGCAGGGAAGAAAAUGACGGUACCUGACUAAGAAGCCCCGGCUAACUACGUGCCAGCAGCCGCGGUAAUACGUAGGGGGCAAGCGUUAUCCGGAUUUACUGGGGGUAAAGGGAGCGUAGACGUCGGAACAAGUCAGAAGUGAAAACCCGGGGCUCAACCCUGGGAGUGCUUUUGAAACUGUUUGGCUGGAGUUCAGUGGAG
rnacentral:rRNA from 1 species